GAUAGCAAGGGACGGACAGUUGAUUUCAAGAACACACUGUUGAUCAUGACAUCGAAUGUCGGAAGCAGUGUCAUCGAGAAGGGAGGCCGGAAGAUUGGGUUUGACCUUGACUCUGAUGAGAAAGAUACCAGCUAUAACAGGAUCAAGAGCUUGGUGACCGAGGAGUUGAAGCAGUAUUUCAGGCCUGAGUUCUUGAACAGAUUGGAUGAGAUGAUUGUGUUCAGGCAGCUGACUAAGUUGGAGGUGAAAGAGAUAGCUGAUAUUAUGCUCAAAGAGGUGUUUGACAGGCUCAAGGCAAAGGAAAUAGACCUCCAGGUAACAGAGAAGUUCCGGGAUAGAGUUGUCGACGAGGGUUACAACCCAAGCUAUGGUGCCAGGCCUCUGCGACGGGCUAUUAUGAGGCUUUUGGAAGACAGCCUCGCGGAGAAGAUGCU
rnacentral:lncRNA from 1 species